ACUCGAAUAGAAAGGAGCGGUUAAUCCUAUUUUUUACUAUUUUCUUUCACUCCUCCCUCUUUCCACCAUGGAAGCCACCUCCUUCCCACCUCCACACCUCCGCUAGGGCGAUCACCUCCUCCUCCUGCGGCGGCCUCUUCUCCGACGAAAUCCCUCUCCUGGAGAACUCGGCUCAAGCAAUUUUUUAGACAUGGAAUAUCCCGAUCAAUUCUUCUCAGUGUUGGUGAUGAAUAACACAAAUACGAAAGAAUUGCAGGUGGUGGAUUUGUGGUUCGAUUGGCCACAACUUGAACCCUAAUUCAACACCAACUGGGCAAGCUUAGCUUCUGUACAAUGUAGAGUGUAACAAUGGCUCCUCUUACUACUAUUACACUCGGCGGCGAUUCUGAAUACCGCACCGUUCUCUUCGAGUUUUGGGUAUUAUAUGACCUAAUUGGCCGGAAGGCACCACCUAUUUGGGGAAGCAACACAUUGAUGGCUUUCUCUGCAAUUUACAAUUAUAUUUCAGGUAAUCUACCAUCUUUUGGCCAUGGUGGUUUUACCAAGUUAAGAGUCCCUGGACUUGUCUCACAAUUCACUGGAUGGAAGCAUUGGAGUGCAGUUAGAUGGGUUGGUGGGUCUCAAAAGCUUGAAACUUGCCUCAAAUCACUUCACUGGAUCACUUCCCUCACAACUCGAUCAAACCAGGCAUCAUCUUAGAACUUUUGACGUGUCCUACAAUAAUCUGUCCGGCCCAAUUCCCCGCGUGUUGCGUAGAUUCAAUUAUGAAGAUUUUGAAGGAAAUCCUAACCUUUGUGGUGAACCCCUUCCAAUCAGCUGCAGUAUUUUGGAAGGAGCCCAAGGGGGAGAACCACAAAAUGAAAGCAAAGACAACGGUUAUUAUAUAGGGUUGUACGUUAGUUUGGGGCUUGGAUUCUACUUUGGAUUUUGGGCAGUUUGUGGCACUCUCACACUCCAACAUUCUUGGAGAUACGCCUUCUUCAACUUUGUUGACACUGUUUAUAACAGAAUAUAUGUGAUUAUAGCUAUUUAUGUUGCCAGAUUUCGGAGGAAUUCUCAAACAUAAUUAUGCAGUUAUGCAGUAUGCACUUUCACAGCAGCUUUCAUCUUUGUCGCACCUGUUGAAUACCUAUGUAGUGUACCAUCUGUUUCUACCGCGUGUCUCUAUAUUGCUAUACACUUAAACUCACAAAAUUCUGGGUUUCUGGAACAACCAAACAAGAGUCCUCCAAAACACGGAUUCUUCUUUACAUGGUUGUGAUUUGUUCCAUUAAUUUUGGCGUUGUAAAACUAUUUAGUGAUUCAUACAUUGAACUGAACAUAAACUUAUUGAUCAACAGUAUAAUUGAAGUCUGUCAAUAUUAUGUAUGAAUAGAAGAAUAUUUUAUUUCUCACUUUAUCCUCCCCUAUGUCUUAUCUGGUGGUGAAAGGAGAGGGAGAAAAAAAACCCACUUGACCACUUCCUCCCAAUUUUGUUUGGUAGGAGAAAAGCUAGAGAUUAAAGUAUAUGUUCACCCUUUCAGAAUAUUUAAAAAGAUUCCAUAUUUCCAAUAUCCAGCUAGAAAAUUAAUUAAAACACGUUGAGAAUUACAAAUUCUUGUCAAAGAACAUCUGACAAUUAGUCAUUUGUCUCCUACCCAAGUGACAUCUGGUUAGCUACUUUUGAGCAUAGUGUGACUACAAGUGUUGACAAGCCGAGCCUGCUCGCGAUCUACUCGAUGCUCGGCUUGACAAAGCUCCGACAAAGCUUGACUUGUGCAGGCUUGACUCGAGCUCAGGUUUGGCUCGAGAUCUUAACGAGCCAAGCCCGAACUAUUUAUGGCUCGGCUCAAAAGCUCGUGAACAAGCUCGAGUUCUUUUUAAUACAUGUAUUUUUCAUAAAAUAAAUUUUUGCAUAAAUAAAGUUUUAGUAGAUAUAUAUUUUGAACGUAUAAAACAUGGAAAAUUUGAUAAACAUGUUUCUUAAUUAAACAUUUGAUGAUCAACAACGAAACAGCCUAUCGAGCCAAACCGAACUCGGUUUUAAUGUUUCGAGCUCAAUUUCCUAGGCUCGACGAGCUUGGAGCUCAAGCCAAGCCUAUAAAGGCUCGAGCCAAGCCUGAGCUCGUGAGCCAAGCCUAUUAGAGUGCAGUUAGAUGUGUUGGUAGGUCUCAAAAGUUUGAAACUUGCCUCAAAUUACUUUACUGGAUCACUUCCUAUCAAUCUUGGAAAAUUAAAAAGGUUAGAGUCACUGGAGUUGUCUUAUAAUUGACAAAACUGAAACACAUGGAUUUGCAGAACAUAUUUGACAAAACUGAAACACCUGAAUUUGCAGAACAACUUGAGUGUUUCAAUACCCAUCAACAUUGUUGACAUGAUUUCCCUGGUUGAACUCCACUUAGAGAACAAUCAUAUCAGUGGAGAGGUUCCUCCCAUGCUCAGAAAAACACAGUUUUUGGAUCUCUCCAACAACAUAAUUUCAGGUAAUCUUACUCCAGAAAUUCUUGUGGACUUCUCAGUCAUCAAAUAUUUGAAUUUAUCAAGAAACAAAUUGUAUGGGGCUAUUCCCUCACAACUUGGGCAAUCCAGUUAUGUUCUUGAUCUGAUCUGUCAGGCCGGAUUCCUCCCGUGCUGCAGAAAUUCAAACAUGAAGUUUUUGUUGGAAAUCUUGACCUUUGCGGACCUGUAAUGGAAAUCAGCUGCCGUAUUGUGGAAGAAGGAGAUGUCUCGUCGAAACAAGAAGAAAAUGAAAGCCAAAAAGACGAUAUUUACGUAGGGUUGUAUGUGAGUAUAGGGCUUGGAUUCUACCUGGCAUUUUGGGGAGUUUGUGGUGCUCUUACAUUGAAACAUUCAUGGAGAUAUGCCUACUUCAACUUUGUUGACACCACUUUUAACAGAAUCUAUGUCAGUAUAGCUAUUUAUGUUGCUAGAUUUCAGAGGAAUUCGCAAACGUAGUCUUAAUUAUCUUUCUUGCAUCUGUUGAAUGAAUAACUUUGCCUGUGCUAUGUAUGAUCUUUUGUGUUCUUUUAUUACUUAUGUGAAGAUCAUUGUUGAAGAUCAUUGUUAUGUAAUGAGAGCAUUAUUCUCGAAUUAGUACAGUGAGUAGGUGUGUAUGAGACCGCCAUACGCGUAAAACCGCUGAAGUCAACAUUAAAAAUGAUAAAUAUUUGUGUUCUUU